GCGGGAAGUGCUUCACCCAGUCCAGUCACAUGAAGAGGCACCUCCUCGUCCACACUGGUGGCAGGCCACAGGACAUUGGGCUGCCCUGAGUGUUCCAGGGUGAAGUUUCCCCUUGGUACAGAUCUAGGAUCAGCUUCCUCUUCUCCAAUCCUAACCUUAACCAUUAGUAGGAAAACAUCUAAAACUGACCCAAGAUCAGUGUGUAGGGGCAACUUCACACUACUCCGCCUGGUGUAAUUAUAGGCAAGGCCAGGAGUUUUUCCUCACCACGUAACUAGACCAGGGAAAAACUCCUGGACCUAGUUGUAAGGGGAAUGGCUCCACACUACUGUGGUUUUCAUAUGCAUACUGGGUCCUUGUGCUUUUAACAGUUUGGAUAGUUACCACAUUGAGCACUACCCUCUGUGUGUAGUGGUAGUGUUUUCAGCUGGCUUGAUGCUUGGUCCAGAGUGGACUGUUAAUGUAUAAGUUAUUAUAGGUGAAGAUUUUAAACAUCCUUUUGAAUAUGUAUUGGUGCAGUGGUGAACCAAAGAACAGCAAUUAUGAAUGCAGGAAGCUCUGGACAGGUGCCUGGGUGAGCUAGGCCUGUAGGUGGUUGAGAGCUCGUUGCUGGACAUAGGGAGGAGGAGGGUGCAGGGAAGAGCGUGACGGUGACUGUCACUUUCUGGACAUCGACACGGCAGAAGAGAAAGCCACAGGUUCCCUGGGUGCCAGCACACUCCUGGACCUUGACACAGAUCUGGCGACCCAGCAGGUGCAAGGCGAGAGUACUGACCUGGAAUGAAUCCCCAGAGGUACUAUGGUCUGGGGAAACAUCAUCUCUUGGAGCUUCCUCUGGAGUCGCUGGUGUGGAUCUUCUGGGAUAUGCUGCGUGUGGACGGGAAGAGAGGCUACUGGAACCUGUCUCUGGUCACAGCGGAACCUUCCGUACCAUCCUGAGAAAGCUGUCAUCAAGGCAAAGAGUGGCUMCUUUGAAGAAUAUAAAAUAUAUUUUCAUUUGUU